AACGAACGCUGGCGGCAGGCUUAACACAUGCAAGUCGAACGCUCGUAGCAAUACGGGAGUGGCAGACGGGUGAGUAACGCGUGGGAACAUACCCUCCGGUUCGGAAUAACUCAGGGAAACUUGAGCUAAUACCGGAUACGGCUGAGAGGCGAAAGAUUUAUCGCCGGAGGAUUGGCCCGCGUUCGAUUAGCUUGUUGGUGAGGUAACGGCUCACCAAGGCGACGAUCGAUAGCUGGUCUGAGAGGAUGAUCAGCCACAUUGGGACUGAGACACGGCCCAAACUCCUACGGGAGGCAGCAGUGGGGAAUAUUGGACAAUGGGCGCAAGCCUGAUCCAGCCAUGCCGCGUGAGUGAUGACGGCCUUAGGGUUGUAAAGCUCUUUCGCUCGGGACGAUAAUGACGGUACCGAGAUAAGAAGCCCCGGCUAACUUCGUGCCAGCAGCUGCGGUAAUACGAAGGGGGCUAGCGUUGUUCGGAAUUACUGGGCGUAAAGCGCGUGUAGGCGGGUCUUUAAGUCAGGGGUGAAAUGCCAAGGCUCAACCUUGGAACUGCCUUUGAUACUGGAGAUCUUGAGUCCGGGAGAGGUGAGUGGAAUUGCGAGUGUAGAGGUGAAAUUCGUAGAUAUUCGCAAGAACACCAGUGGCGAAGGCGGCUCACUGGCCCGGAACUGACGCUGAGACGCGAAAGCGUGGGGAGCAAACAGGAUUAGAUACCCUGGUAGUCCACGCUGUAAACGAUGGAUGCUAGCCGUUGGGGAGCUUGCUCUUCAGUGGCGCAGCUAACGCUUUAAGCAUCCCGCCUGGGGAGUACGGUCGCAAGAUUA
rnacentral:rRNA from 1 species